rnacentral:rRNA from 1 species
AGUUCCUACGGGACGCAGCAGUAGGGAAUAUUGCUCAAUGGGGGAAACCCUGAAGCAGCAACGCCGCGUGGAGGAUGAAGGUUUUCGGAUUGUAAACUCCUUUUGUUAGAGAAGAUAAUGACGGUAUCUAACGAAUAAGCACCGGCUAACUCCGUGCCAGCAGCCGCGGUAAUACGGAGGGUGCAAGCGUUACUCGGAAUCACUGGGCGUAAAGAGCGCGUAGGCGGGAUAGCAAGUCUGAUGUUAAAUCCUAUGGCUUGAC